rnacentral:rRNA from 1 species
GUGCCAGCCGCCGCGGUAAGACGGAGGGGGCAAGCGUUGUCCGGAAUUAUUGGGCGUAAAGAGCACGUAGGCGGUUUUCUAAGUCUGAUGUGAAAACUCCGGGCUUAACCUGGAGCUUGCAUCAGAAACUGGAUCACUUGAGUUCAGUGGGGGGAAUUGGAAUUCCUAGUGUAGCGGUGAAAUGCGCAGAUAUUAGGAGGAACACCAGUGGCGAAGGCGGAUUCCUAUACUGUAACUGACGCUGAGGUGCGAAAGCUAGGGGAGCAAACAGGAUUAGAUACCCUGGUAGUCCUAGCUGUAAACGAUGGGCACUAGGUGUGGGAAGUUAUCGACUCUUUCCGUGCCGAAGCUAACGCAUUAAGUGCCCCGCCUGGGGAGUACGACCGCAAGGUUAAAACUUAAAUGAAUUGACGGGG